UCCAUCUUCAAUGCAGUUUUCCUUAAAGCCAUCAGAAAGAAUUAAUUAUUCUGUGCUAAUGUUACAUAGCACAUUACUUGUUAUACCAAAACACAAUUUCAUAUAUGGUUUUGGUGUAUUUCUAUUCAAAGUUAGUCAAGAUUCCUAUUUUACUUCCAAAGUGCCUCCUAUGUAUAUGGUCUUUGAAGAAAAAUGCCUUAUGGAGCAGAAUCUAUAACCACUUUAUAGCGGUCUUGCCAUCACUUCUGCCCAGAGCAAAGAUUUAACUACUCUAUAAAGAUUGCAGAGCCAAAUAAAAGGCAUUUCAUUAAUUCAGAUAAUAGAUUAAUUUCAGCACAUCUCCACCAUCCUGAUGAGAGACUGAGCAUGAAAAGAUAUCUACAAAUCUACUGUAAGCUCAAAGUGCUUGCUCCCCAACUCUGGGCACAGAGAAAACACAAUUGAUUGUAUAAAUCAAUAAAAUGAACACUGUGAAUCAA
rnacentral:lncRNA from 1 species